rfam:Spirochaeta coccoides DSM 17374, complete genome.
GGUGCCGUACCCAAGCGGUAAGGGAAAGGUCUGCAAAACCUUCAUUCAGCGGUUCGAAUCCGCUCGGCACCU